rnacentral:rRNA from 1 species
CACGUAGGGGACGAGCGUUGUCCGGAUUCAUUGGGCGUAAAGCGCGCGUAGGCGGCUCGGAAAGUCGGUCGUGAAAUGCCGGGGCUCAACCCCGGGACUGCGUCCGAUACUUCCGGGCUGGAGGUAGGUAGGGGAGAUCGGAAUUCCUGGUGUAGCGGUGAAAUGCGCAGAUAUCAGGAGGAACACCGGUGGCGAAGGCGGAUCUCUGGGCCGACACUGACGCUGAUGCGCGAAAGCCAGGGGAGCGAACGGG